UACAGAGGUGGCAAGCGUUGUUCGGAAUUACUGGGCGUAAAGCGUGCGUAGGCGGUUUGUUAAGUCUGAUGUGAAAGCCCUGGGCUCAACCUGGGAAUGGCAUUGGAUACUGGCAACCUAGAAUGUGGUAGAGGGUGGCGGAAUUCCCGGUGUAGCAGUGAAAUGCGUAGAUAUCGGGAGGAACAUCCGUGGCGAAGGCGGCCACCUGGACCAACAUUGACGCUGAGGCACGAAAGCGUGGGGAGCAAACAGG
rnacentral:rRNA from 1 species